rnacentral:tRNA from 1 species
UCUUAGAUGACCGAGUUUAAGUGUUAGACUUUUAAUCUAAAAACGGCAUAAUAUAAAAUGCCUCUAAGAGC